CGGCUGCCAGCGCCGGGCUGCAGCAGGAGCAGCUGCGCUUCGGCAUCCAGCGCGCUUCUCUGCGAGGAGGUAAACUUUAAAACAAGCUUUACCUAAAGAUAGCUAUGGAGGCUAUCAAAGGUGAAUGAAAGCUGGACGUGGGAGCAGACGAACGGUUCCCGCAUCAAAAGGCGUACUUUUGGGGUGACCAAAACUUGCAGCAAACUAAAGACUUCUUUGGGCUGGCAGGAGGAAAGAAGUCCUCAAAACUUAGAGGCAAAGCAUCGUUAGGAUGCUUCGCCUCAAAAAUUUCCUGUUUACUAUGCAACACUAUCAGAGGUGUGCUCUGCAUUUUGCCAUCAACAGUCUUGUUGGGUCAUCUGUGAUGAACAGGAGGAGAGGUUGGGCAGCAGAUUGACUGUUCGAAGAGCAGCAGUAGGCAUCUCUGGAGAGACUUAUAGUUGUAAGUACGUGGUUUCUUUGAGGUUCGGAGUCCACAGUGCAGAAUGGAAAAUCUGGCAAAUACCUUUGCUGCCAGGGUUGUCCUGGGUUUGGUCUAGCCAUGGCUUUUGCUGCUGUGGUAAGCCACCAGCAAGACGACACCAUUCAGGCACAGAAGCCAGGGCUUCACAGGCUAACUGUAGGGUUACGUAGCAAAACUACUGAGUAGCAGUAAAAUUUAUGCAGGCAUCAGUGUAUACUCAUAUCACCCUCUACCUGCUUCUGCACUAGAAGAUGAACAUCUUUCACGCCUGGUUCCAGCCACCACCAUUGCCACAAUCUCCACUGGAUGCCAAAAGCCUCCAUCUCCUCCAGGUGGGUCUCUGGAGUGAAGUUGCCAUCUGAAGGAGGUGAGUGAGCAUCUCCCUUGCUCCGAGUGAGCAUCUCCCUUGCUCCAUCUGAAAGCAAAGGCAGAGCAGGUGAGCGCUGGGCAGUGAAAAGCGUUGUGUUGGUGCGGAGGAGAUG
rnacentral:lncRNA from 1 species